GACAGAGGUGCCGAGCGUUAGGCGGAAUCACUGGGCUUAAAGCGUGUGUAGGUGGAUGCCUAAGUACCUUGUGAAAUCCCCGGACUCAAUCCGGGAACUGCUCGGUAUACUGCGAUUCUCGAGGCAGGUAGAGGUCACUGGAACCUUAGGUGGAGCGGUGAAAUGCGUAGAUAUCUAAGGGAACGCCUGUGGCGAAAGCGGGUGACUGGGCCUGUCCUGACGCUGAGACGCGAAAGCGUAGGGAGCAAACGGG
rnacentral:rRNA from 1 species